rnacentral:rRNA from 1 species
AUUGAACGCUGGCGGCAGGCCUAACACAUGCAAGUCGAGCGAGCGGCGGACGGGUGAGUAAUGUCUGGGAAACUGCCUGAUUGAGGGGGAUAACUACUGGAAACUGUCGCUUAUACCACAUUCCAUCAGAUGUGCCCAGAUGGGAUGAGCUAGUCGGUGGGGUAACGGCCCACCUAGGCGACGAUCCCUAGCUGUUCUGAGAGGAUGACCAGCAACACUGGAACUGAGACACGGUCCAGACUCCGACGGGAGGCAGCAGUGGGGAACAUUGGACAAUGGGCAGAAGCCUGAUGCAGCCAUGCCGCGUGUGUGAAGAAGGCCUUCGGGUUGUAAAGCACUUUCAGCGGGGAGGCGUUACCCGAAGAAGAAGCACCGGCUAACUCCGUGCCAGCAGCCGCGGUAAUUC